AAACUUUCAACAAUGGAUCUCUUGGCUCUCGCAUCGAUGAAGAACGCAGCGAAAUGCGAUAGGUAAUAUGAAUUGCAGAAUUUCGUGAAUCAUCAAAUUUUUGAACGCAAAUUGCACUUCUUGGUAUUCCGAGGAGUACACAUGCUUGAGGGUCAGUU
rnacentral:rRNA from 1 species